AAACACUUAAUUGAUCACCAAAAAUAAUUAAAAGUUCGAUUUUUCUUGAUAAUUCGGAAAGGGCAAAAAGAUUAUAAGAAUGGAUCACAACUUGAAUAAGCUCAUUAAUACUCUGUUGAAAUUUCUGAUAGUAUGUGUUACUCAUAAGAACAAAAUAAUGAACGGACGGUUUACAAAUCAAAUUACGAGAUCAUUAAUUAAUUAAACAAAUUACACAUAAAUGAAUUAAAUUUUGACUUGUAAAUAAAUCUAGAGUCUAAGUCGACUCAAAAAAUAUUCAACCCACUUCUUAAGUGAAUAUUGUUCAUGACGAGAUAUCAAUUUGUUUUCUUCAUCAAUGUGAGACUCUAGAAUGUACGUCUAGCUAGUUGCUAGAACGUUAUUGUUUUUUGAAUUCGAGGAGGGAGCUGUGACAGGAUGUACUUUCUUGAACAUCUUAGUGAACCAACCUCCAGAAGAAGACUUUUUCAAGUGAUUACAAGUUUCUGGGAUUUUAACUUUUUCCUUCUCCAAAUUCUUCAUCUUCUCUUCGUGAAGUUUUUUCAUGGCAUAAGCCUCAGCAAGAUACGCACUAGCAGUACACAUGCUUGAUAUGUAUAUAUAUAUUUUUUCAAAUAGAAAUUCUGAAGCAACAAUUAAUAUUGGUAUGGAGAUAUUGAUAUUGGUUCACGAACAUUGUUAUGGUAUUUAUAGGCACAAAAGGGAAAUGAGCAAAGAAAUUUCGUGGCAUUGAAUUGUUGAUUAGGGCUUGGCUGCUUUUGUUGAAUGUUUUGGUAGAUACUAUGCAUGCCUAUUUGAUAACCUU
rnacentral:lncRNA from 1 species